AAGGAUGCAGCAGGGUAUUUUCAGAAAUCAACUAAUGUUCAUUUUCAUAUUAGUUGAUAAACAUUUUUAAUCAUUUUCAAUUUUUAAUUUUCAGAAAUCAAUCAACUGAAGAUGAGCCUCCAAAAGAGGCUACAGCAAAGGAUCAGCCUACACAACAAGUGAAGGCUAUAGCAGAGGAUGAGCCUCCAGCAGAGGAAGAGCCUCCAAAAGAGGAUGAGCCUCCAGCAGCAGUUGAAGAAACACAUUCAUACAUAAUGCAAAAGAAAAAAUUAAAAGUGUCAACUCAAGGAAUACUAAAAAAGCUGACAAAAAACUGAAAAACUGCUCCUGUUAGCAAGGUCAUUGCUGCUAAAAAGGCCCCUGCUACAACUGUUGAUACUGCUGGAAAAGCCACUGCUGCUGAAAUGGCCCCAGCUACAACUACUGAAAAGUCCUCUGCUGCAGAAAAAUCCCAUGCAGCAAGUUCUGCAAAUGCACAACAGAAGGCCCCUGCUGAAAUUAAAAAAAUCCUAUUAGGUAAUGUACAUAAUUGUUAAAUUAAAUAUUAAAUUUUUUUAAUCAAUAACACUUAUACUGAAAAUGUUCAUUUACCAAUUUGUAAAUGAUCUAAAUGUAUAGGUGGUGAAGAAAUUGAGAUUGAGGAUGAAACAGAAGAAGAAUUGGAAAGAC